rnacentral:rRNA from 1 species
GGGUUGUGAGGUUAAGCGACUAAGCGUACACGGUGGAUGCCCCGCAGUCAGAGGCGAUGAAGGACGUGCUAAUCUGCGAUAAGCGUCGGUGAGGUGAUAUGAACCGUUAUAACCGGCGAUUUCCGAAUGGGGAAACCCAGUGUGUUUCGACACACUAUCAUUAACUGAAUCCAUAGGUUAAUGAGGCGAACCGGGGAACUGAAACAUCUAAGCACCCCGAGGAAAAGAAAUCAACCGAGAUUCCCCAGUAGCGGCGAGCGAACGGGGGAGGAGCCCAGAGCCUGAAUCAGUGUGUGUGUUAGUGGAAGCGUCUGGAAAGGCGCGCGAUACAGGGUGACAGCCCCGUACACAAAAAAAAAUGCACAUAUUGUGAGCUCGAUGAGUAGGGCGGGACACGUGGUAUCCUGUCUGAAUAUGGGGACCAUCCUCCAAGGCUAAAUACUCCUGACUGACCGAUAGUGAACCAGUACCGUGAGGGAAAGGCGAAAAGAACCCCGGCGAGGGGAGUGAAAAGAACCUGAAACCGUGUACGUACAAGCAGUGGGAGCCUCUUUAUGGGGUGACUGCGUACCUUUGUAUAAUGGGUCAGCGACUUAUAUUCUGUAGCAAGGUUAACCGAAUAGGGGAGCCGAAGGGAAACCGAGUCUUAACUGGGCGUUAAGUUGCAGGGUAUAGACCCGAAACCCGGUGAUCUAGCCAUGGGCAGGUUGAAGGUUGGGUAACACUAACUGGAGGACCGAACCGACUAAUGUUGAAAAAUUAGCGGAUGACUUGUGGCUGGGGUGAAAGGCCAAUCAAACCGGGAGAUAGCUGGUUCUCCCCGAAAGCUAUUUAGGUAGCGCCUCGUGAAUUCAUCUCCGGGGUAGAGCACUGUUUCGGCAAGGGGUCAUCCCGACUUACCAACCCGAUGCAAACUGCGAAUACCGGAGAAUGUUAUCACGGGAGACACACGGCGGGUGCUAACGUCCGUCGAAGAGGGAAACAACCCAGACCGCCAGCUAAGGUCCCAAAGUCAUGGUUAAGUGGGAAACGAUGUGGGAAGGCCCAGACAGCCAGGAUGUUGGCUUAGAAGCAGCCAUCAUUUAAAGAAAGCGUAAUAGCUCACUGGUCGAGUCGGCCUGCGCGGAAGAUGUAACGGGCUAAACCAUGCACCGAAGCUGCGGCAGCGACACUAUGUGUUGUUGGGUAGGGGAGCGUUCUGUAAGCCUGUGAAGGUGGCCUGUGAGGGUUGCUGGAGGUAUCAGAAGUGCGAAUGCUGACAUAAGUAACGAUAAAGCGGGUGAAAAGCCCGCUCGCCGGAAGACCAAGGGUUCCUGUCCAACGUUAAUCGGGGCAGGGUGAGUCGACCCUAAGGCGAGGCCGAAAGGCGUAGUCGAUGGGAAACAGGUUAAUAUUCCUGUACUUGGUGUUACUGCGAAGGGGGGACGGAGAAGGCUAUGUUGGCCGGGCGACGGUUGUCCCGGUUUAAGCGUGUAGGCUGGUUUUCCAGGCAAAUCCGGAAAACCAAGGCUGAGGCGUGAUGACGAGGCACUACGGUGCUGAAGCGACAAAUGCCCUGCUUCCGUGAAAAGCCUCUAAGCAUCAGGUAACAUCAAAUCGUACCCCAAACCGACACAGGUGGUCAGGUAGAGAAUACCAAGGCGCUUGAGAGAACUCGGGUGAAGGAACUAGGGCAAAAUGGUGCCGUAACUUCGGGAGAAGGCACGCUGAUAUGUAGGUGAAGGACUUGCUCGUGGAGCUGAAAUCAGUCGAAGAUACCAGCUGGCUGCAACUGUUUAUUAAAACACAGCACUGUGCAAACACGAAAGUGGACGUAUACGGUGUGACGCCUGCCCGGUGCCGGAAGGUUAAUUGAUGGGGUUAGCGGUAACGCGAAGCUCUUUGAUCGAAGCCCCGGUAAACGGCGGCCGUAACUAUAACGGUCCUAAGGUAGCGAAAUUCCUUGUCGGGUAAGUUCCGACCUGCACGAAUGGCGUAAUGAUGGCGAGGGCUGUCUCCACCCGAGACUCAGUGAAAUUGAACUCGCUGUGAAGAUGCAGUGUACCCGCGGCAAGACGGAAAGACCCCGUGAACCUUUACUAUAGCUUGACACUGAACAUUGAGCCUUGAUGUGUGGGAUAGGUGGGAGGCUUUGAAGUGUGGACGCCAGUCUGCAUGGAGCCGACCUUGAAAUACCACCCUUUAAUGUUUGAUGUUCUAACGUUGGCCCGUAAUCCGGGUUGCGGACAGUGUCUGGUGGGUAGUUUGACUGGGGCGGUCCUCCUAAAGAGUAACGGAGGAGCACGAAGGUUGGCUAAUCUGGUCGGACAUCAGGAGGUUAGUGCAAUGGCAUAAGCCAGCUUGACUGCGAGCGUGACGGCGCGAGCAGGUGCGAAAAGCAGGUCAUAGUGAUCCGGUGGUUCUGAAUGGAAGGGCCAUCGCUCAACGGAUAAAAGGUACUCCGGGGAUAACAGGCUGAUACCGCCCAAGAGUUCAUAUCGACGGCGGUGUUUGGCACCUCGAUGUCGGCUCAUCACAUCCGGGGCUGAAGUAGGUCCCAAAGGGUAUGGCUGUUCGCCAUUUAAAGUGGUACGCGAGCUGGGUUUAGAACGUCGUGAGACAGUUCGGUCCCCAUUCUGCCGUGGGCGCUGGAGAACUGAGGGGCUGCUCCUAGUACGAGAGGACCGGAGUGGACGCAUCACUGGUGUUCGGGUUGUCAUGCCAAUGGCACUGCCCGGUAGCUAAAUGCGGAAGAGAUAAGUGCUGAAAGCAUCUAAGCACGAAACUUGCCCCGAGAUGAGUUCUCCCUGAGACUUAGAGUCUCCUGAAGGAACGUUGAAGACGACGACGUUGAUAGGCCGGGUGUGUAAGCGCAGCGAUGCGUUGAGCUAACCGGUACUAAUGAACCGUGAGGCUUAACCUUACAACGCCGAAG